AGUGAAUCCACAGCUAGAAAAGAGGUACAGAAGCUGCUUCAUUCCUGAACUGAUUUUGGCUUUGUUUAUUUUUUUAACUGUAGUAAUCUUGAAAUCUUGAUCUCUAACUGAAAACUGAAGUAUUUAUCUCAAAUUCAGCUCCUGUGACGGUCAGCUGUUUAGUACAAGACAUUGCACUGCCCCUGGGAUUUUGCAGUGCUUCUCAGUUGAAUUCUUCGACAAGGAACAGAAAAAGCCUCAGGGGACGAAUCGGGAAGAUUUCAUCAUUGAAAGCUUUCUUUCACCAAAAGCUCCUUGUUGAUUCAGCACGACUGCCACUAAACAAGCUGACCAGAUAAAGAACUACCUGGAAAGCACUUAACUAUGCUUUGUUUGCAGUGCUUGAAAUCCUUGAAGGCAGCAUGAGAAACAAAGGUAAUAUCGCUUGCACGUGCUUUGUUUAUUGCCAGUGAUAAAACAUGCACUUACAGGGAAGGAGAUGGCAUAAAAGAAUAGUGUUAGAAAAAUAAAUUGCUGAUAAAAACCAGUUAUUUUGUAACCAAAAGUAUGAGUUAAACCUCACACUUAGAUUUCUUCAGAGCUUUAUAGAGAGAAACUGCGGACAUUCAUAGAGUGAUCUAGUUAAUUCCUUUUUUUCAUGCAAAACCAGGCAGUGGAUUUUUAUUUUAUUUUUUUAAGAAAAUAGAGAUUGGACAUAUGAGAAUUAUGCCAGAAAUAAACUAUAUUGCUACUGUGAAAGUAAUUUAAAAUCUUUCUUACAAUAUAUUAGGAAUCCUAGUAUUUCCAUAGAAAAUGUAAAAUAAAUUGGAAAAUAUAAACUAGCUCCAUUAUCACCCUGGACACACACAACAACCCAGCCUGCUAAGAUAACAAGUGAAGAAAUGUGAAAACAUUGACUUUAUAACAAGGGGAGGUGUUAUUUUCAUUGAGGUAAAUGAUAAUGUAAACUAAAUUGAGGCAAUUUUUGUUCUGCAUCAUGUAGGAGGAAGUGUGAGCUUAAGGAAGACAGAAGCCCUGGUCUGAAUAGAAGAAAUUAGUUCUGCAGAGGCCAGUGGAGGAGACCAGAGGUGAACGGGGGACAGAAGAAUGGGGAGAAAGCACCAGGGACAGGGAGUACCAUGAAUGCUCAACACCAUGAUCUAGGAAACAUCACAGGAAAUUAGAUUCCCCUGCAGCAACAAAUAAAGUCUUACCAAACCUUGUUUCACCAUCAUAUAAACAUUACACCAUCACUGUUCGUUUGUGGUCAACAUACAGUUAAUUUAACAUAUCCUGGAGCUGUGUUAGUACUAAACUUACUACAUGUGACAAUUGAUAACUGUCUGCGUGACUGUGCUUUGAUGUCUCAUGGCUACCAAGAUAGAUACCUGCCCUACUGUAAAGACUCCUGUGUCCAGGCCCUUCAAAAAAACAGCUGGUGUGGGGAAAAGAUCCCACCCCAAGUGCCUGCCAAGUGCUCAGAGGGAAGUAAAGCAGGGAGAACCUGCUGCUUUCAAGACAUGAGAGAAAUGUAUCGGGAGGAAAAGAAUGGUGACAUCCAAACACUACAAAGGACCGGUGUUACAAGUGUCUGUGCAGGUGAAAAAAAAAAAGAAAAAAAAAGUGAUAAAAAUACCAGCCAACUUCUUUGUAGAACAUUUCAAACACUGUCAUGCAGGCUGAGGCUACCACAUCUGCCAGAAGGGUCAGCAAGUCAGAAAUUUGUUCAAGGCAUAUGCAUUCAUAUUUUACACAGGACAAAAAGAAAAAAAAAAAGCAAGCAGUAUCCAGGAAAUUCAUCCCUGUGUUAGACAUUCAACUCUGUAGGACUGCUACUCUGCUGAAGCAGUCAGGCUGCCUGAAUUUGUUGAUCAGAUUCACCCAUGGACUACAUGAUACAGGUGCAGGCACAGGCUGUUUUCAUUAAUAUCACGACUUGCCAGGGGAAACUAGUAUGAGGCAAAACCCAGCAGGGUUAAGAUAAAAAUCUGUCAUGUUUUCUACAGAUCUUACUCUUGAGAGAUGUCUGCCCCCUAAAACAAAACAAAACAAAAAUCUCAUUAGACUUCAGGAUUUUUAUCCCAAUAGUUGUUAUUUAGCUCUUAGGUGAAAUCUUGCAAGACAAAUGAGACUGACUCUGGUUGAAAAAGUCCCUGAGAGCAUGCUGUCAAACCAGUUAGACUGCAUGAGAAAUUUCAAAGCUCAGGCAGAGGAUGAAGCAUGUGGUAAAAAGCCUGAAGUAGCUCAGGUCCCACACAAAACCUCUGUGAGUGGAAGGAAUGACAUUAAUUCUCCCAGACAGGGAAAAAAUGAAUAUGAGCAAAAGACAUCUCAAGGGUGACACCUGUGACAGUUCUGGGAUGGGUAAGAAGUGAGAGCAGUCAGAUGGGACACAUGAGGAGGCUGCAUCUCAGUGGGACAGUGACUUUUUCUGAAAUUAACCUCUAUGAUCUCUCAGCUUCUUCUGUAAUUGUAGAUAAGGGACAAUGGUGAAGAAAAAUGCAAGGACUUUGACAAACAGCCAUCAGAUUAAACAGUUGAAUGCAGACAUAGAGUUGUCAUAUUGGAAUUUAGAAAUAUGGCCCUGUGCAUAGUCACCAUUUUAUAUGCACAAUAUAAAUAAUGAAUAGCAGUUUGGAUUUGGCACAUUCCUAUGAAGUGUCACUUUGACUUUCUACUGCUUUGCAUGAAUACAUAAAACAAUAAACUCUAGAGACAGCUCAUGGUAGCUGUGCUAGUUCUUGCUAUUCAUAAUCUCUCCUGAGAUUACUCCUGUUAGUAAUUUUUCUGCUUGAUACUUCUGAAAAUACUUUUUAUAGCAUAUUUUUAUUUUCAGUUGCAAGUAAAUAUUGUAUUUAGAUAACUCAGUUGCCUAUACAAUUUUCUUGCAAAAUUGUAUCAUUUUAAUCAUCUGCAAAACAAAUCUUUCCUCUUUCAAAGGAAUAGGAACUUUUAACAUAACUUUUAACAUAACUUUUAAUGGCAUGGUGUCAUGGUGUUUAUCAUCAGUCUUCUGUAGCACUCUCAGGCAAGAAAGUGUGGACAGAGCUCAGAAUGAUCUCUCUGCUGUUUUCCUGUGCCCCACACUCAUGGGAGAAGCAGCAAAUCAAAGGCAGGCUCUAAAAAAAGCCUUUCUGAAAUACUUUCUCUCAUUCUUCUUCCUCAGUCACUUACCACUGUAGUGUUCGAUUUUUUCUCAGAGUUUUGAGAUUGUCAUACCUUAACUCAUUUCCCUUUGAAUUAAUUUCAACUUUACAAUAGUCAACUUGUAAUUUCUUUGGUAUUGGUCAAACCAGUCCUUUAUUUCUAUUACCCAUUCACCCCUGACAUUAUUAUUAUUUUAUUUAGUAACCCCUGAUUAUAAAUCAGAGUACAUUAACCCACUGUCUUUCUUUAUUACACUCAAGAAAUCAGCUAAACUAUCAAUGAAAGUGUUCCCAUUCUCCAUGACAGUUAAACUUUUUUUCCAAGGAAAUCUCCACUACUGGAUUGAAUAUCAUGAGUAAACUCACCUGUUCUACAUGUGAGACAAAAUAUAGUUCAAAUUCUUCAAAUGAAAAAAUCAAAUAUUUCAGCUGUGACAUUCUUCAAAGGAAAAUUCUAACACAUAAUGUACUUACCACAGACACGUAACAUGUUCUAGGUCAGAUGGGGAAAAAAAAGUAAACAAAAAAACCCAAACAAGAACAAGAAUGAAAUUAAAGCAACUAAUAAGCAACCAGUCAUCUUUAAAAUUGGUUGUUAAAUUCUGCCAGUUGAAUAACAAUGCCAAG
ensembl:lncRNA